rnacentral:rRNA from 1 species
GUGGAUUAGAUACCCUAGUAGUCCCAGCCGUAAACGAUGUCCACCAGGUGCCGGGCGGAUCGACCCGUUCGGUGCCGCAGCUUACGUGAUGAGUGGACCGCCUGGGGAGUACGGCCGCAAGGUUGAAACUCAAAGGAAUUGACGGGGGCCCGCACAAGCAGCGGAGUGUGUGGUUUAAUUCGAUGCGACGCGAAGCACCUUACCUGGGCUUGACAUGCAGAGGCGCCAGGGGUAACGCCCUGUCUCCUUCGGGAGCCUCUGCACAGGUGCUGCACGGCUGUCGUCAACU